UAUUCGUCCCGUACAACGCAG
rnacentral:piRNA from 1 species